UACGAAGGGUGCAAGCGUUACUCGGAAUUACUGGGCGUAAAGCGUGCGUAGGUGGUUCGUUAAGUCUGAUGUGAAAGCCCUGGGCUCAACCUGGGAACUGCAUUGGAUACUGGCGAUCUGGAGUGCGGUAGAGGGUGGCGGAAUUCCCGGUGUAGCAGUGAAAUGCGUAGAUAUCGGGAGGAACAUCCGUGGCGAAGGCGGCCACCUGGACCAGCACUGACACUGAGGCACGAAAGCGCUGGGGAGCAAACAGG
rnacentral:rRNA from 1 species